rnacentral:rRNA from 1 species
GCGCAGCAGUCGAGAAUACUUUACAAUGUGCGAAAGCACGAUAAGGGAACUCUGAGUGCCUCCUAAGGGGGCUGUUCAGGUGUCUAAAAGCACCUGAAGGAAGGGCUGGGUAAGACCGGUGCCAGCCGCCGCGGUAUCACCGGGCAGCCCAAGUGGUAGCCACGUUUAUUGGGUCUAAAGCGUCCGUAGCCGGGCUGGGUAAGUUCCUUGGGAAAUUUGGCUGCUUAACAGUCAAGCUUUCA